ACCUUCCUUGUCAUGGGGUGGUUUGGGAGACUCAAUGAACGUCUAGUGAGAGCUUCCCUGCUGACACCAUAACGACACAUGCGCACCAGCCGAGCUCCGCGCUCCGGCCCCGGUGCAAUUUUUGGAAAC